GACGAACGCUGGCGGCGUGCUUAACACAUGCAAGUCGAACGGAAAGGCCCUGCUUUUGUGGGGUGCUCGAGUGGCGAACGGGUGAGUAACACGUGAGUAACCUGCCCUUGACUUUGGGAUAACUUCAGGAAACUGGGGCUAAUACCGGAUAGGAGCUCCUGCUGCAUGGUGGGGGUUGGAAAGUUUCGGCGGUCGGGGAUGGACUCGCGGCUUAUCAGCUUGUUGGUGGGGUAGUGGCUUACCAAGGCUUUGACGGGUAGCCGGCCUGGGAGGGUGACCGGCCUCAAUAGUACUACGGGAGGGCCCAGUGGCGUACGGGAGGCAGCAGUGGGGAGUAUUGCACAAUGGGCGGAAGCCUGAUGCAGCAACGCCGCGUGCGGGAUGACGGCCUUCGGGUUGUAAACCGCUUUCGCCUGUGACGAAGCGUGAGUGACGGUAAUGGGUAAAGAAGCACCGGCUAACUACGUG
rnacentral:rRNA from 1 species